rnacentral:rRNA from 1 species
GAUGAACGCUGGCGGCGUGCCUAAUACAUGCAAGUCGAGCGGACCAAAGAGAGCUUGCUCUCUGAGGUUAGCGGCGGACGGGUGAGUAACACGUGGGUAACCUGCCUGUAAGACGGGGAUAACUUCGGGAAACCGAAGCUAAUACCGGAUGAUAAAGAGAAACGCCUGUUUCUUUUUUGAAAGUCGGCCUUGUGCUGACGCUUACAGAUGGGCCCGCGGCGCAUUAGCUAGUUGGUGAGGUAACGGCUCACCAAGGCGACGAUGCGUAGCCGCCCUGGGAGGGUGAUCGGCAACACUGGGACUGAGACACGGGCCAGACUCGUACGGGAGGCAGCAGUAGGGAAUCUUCGGCAAUGGACGAAAGUCUGACCGAGCAACGCCGCGUGAGCGAUGAAGGCCUUCGGGUCGUAAAGCUCUGUUGUCAGAGAAGAACAAGUACCGGAGUAACUGCCGGUACCUUGACGGUACCUGACCAGAAAGCCACGGCUAACUACGUGCCAGCCGCCGCCGUAA